ACGGGGCCGCCCCGCGAGGGACGGCGCCGCCCCGGGGCUCGUGAUAUCUCAUCUCGGCCGCCCGUCGCGAGGCGGACGGAGGGAUGGAUGAGGUUACCUAGGAAAAAAAUCGGGGCGAUCUAGGCGGGCGAACCUCGCCAACGAACGAUCGGACAUGGGAUAACGGAAGAGGGCGUCGGCUCGACUUCGUCGGUUCCUCGGGCCGAGGCACGUACGGUGAAUAGGGACGGUCGGGGCCGCCCCGUACCGGGUCGUGAGAGGUGAAAUUCUAGGAUCGACCCGAGACGAACCGCCGCGAAAGCAUUCGGCAAGGACGCUUUCAUUAAUCAAGAACGAAAUCGGGGGGAUCGAAGACGAUCAGAUACCGUCGUAGUCCCGACCGUAAACGAUGCCGACCGAGGGGCCCCGGAGGAGUUACGUACGACCCUCCGGGCCCUCCCGCGAGAAAUCAGGA
rnacentral:rRNA from 1 species